AGAGUUUGAUCCUGGCUCAGGAUGAACGCUGGCGGCGUGCCUAAUACAUGCAAGUCGAACGCUUCACUUCGGUGAAGAGUGGCGAACGGGUGAGUAAUACAUAAGUAACCUGGCCUUUACAGGGGGAUAACUAUUGGAAACGAUAGCUAAGACCGCAUAGGUGUGUCCAUCGCAUGAGGGACAUAUGAAAUAUGCUACGGCAUAGGUAGAGGAUGGACUUAUGGCGCAUUAGCUAGUUGGAGGGGUAACGGCCCACCAAGGCGACGAUGCGUAGCCGACCUGAGAGGGUGACCGGCCACACUGGGACUGAGACACGGCCCAGACUCCUACGGGAGGCAGCAGUAGGGAAUUUUCGGCAAUGGGGGAAACCCUGACCGAGCAACGCCGCGUGAAGGAAGAAGUAAUUCGUUAUGUAAACUUCUGUCAUAGAGGAAGAACGGUGCGUGUAGGGAAUGACAUGCAAGUGACGGUACUCUAUAAGAAAGCCACGGCUAACUACGUGCCAGCAGCCGCGGUAAUACGUAGGUGGCGAGCGUUAUCCGGAAUUAUUGGGCGUAAAGAGGGAGCAGGCGGCACUAAGGGUCUGUGGUGAAAGAUCGAAGCUUAACUUCGGUAAGCCAUGGAAACCGUAGAGCUAGAGUGUGUGAGAGGAUCGUGGAAUUCCAUGUGUAGCGGUGAAAUGCGUAGAUAUAUGGAGGAACACCAGUGGCGAAGGCGACGAUCUGGCGCAUAACUGACGCUCAGUCCCGAAAGCGUGGGGAGCAAAUAGGAUUAGAUACCCUAGUAGUCCACGCCGUAAACAAUGAAUACUAAGUGUUUGGGAAUCAAAUCUCAGUGCUG
rnacentral:rRNA from 1 species